UAGCCUUUGCCAAACUGUGUGCUCCUUUUUUUUCUACCACUCUCUCUCUCUCUCUCUCUCGGUGGACCUUAACAGAUACUUGUUCUCAGUUCUCAGAAUCGAAUCGAAGAACUGUUCAGAUGAUCGUAAUUUUAGACUGAAGUGAAGUGUCCCAAUCUUCGGUGGUCCUACCCUAUCAUUACUCGAUGGGUGGAGUUUGUUCUAGGAAGCGAGACCCACAGGUCAAUGAAGACAAUCUUACUAGAGGAGUUUCUGGAAGAUAUUCCAAAAGUAGGAGUUCUAAGUGGUUGGGAAACUCCUUUUCUCGACCUGCUGUAGAUAAUAAGCAGGGAAAAAUACCACGCCCAUCUUUAAUGGAACUAUGCAUUUACAAGAUAUGCAAGGAUAUUGAUAAACAUACUACCUUUUCCAUGCUGCCAAGGGAUAUUAGUCAGCAGAUCUUCAAUGAAUUAGUGUACUCACAAUGUCUGACUGAGGUUUCUCUUCAAGCUUUUCGAGAUUGUGCCCUCCAGGACCUUGAGUUGGGAGAAUACCCAGGAUUGAAGGACAGUUGGAUGGAUGUCAUUUCUUCACAGGGAUCAUCUUUACUUUCUGUGGAUUUUUCUGGUUCUGAUGUUACAGACUCUGGGUUGAUUCCUCUCAAAAGCUGCACAAAUCUCCAGGCAUUGAAUUUUAAUUACUGUGACCAGAUUUCAGACCAUGGGUUAGCGCACAUCAGAGGUCUCUCGAACUUGACAACUUUGAGUUUUAGGAGAAACAAUCAAAUUACUGCUCAAGGGCUAAAUGUCUUUGCUGGCUUAAUUAACUUGUUAAAGUUGGAUCUGGAAAGAUGUCCAGGGAUCCAUGGUGGACUUGUUCAUCUCAAAGGGCUAGCGAAGCUUGAGUCUCUAAAUAUUAAAUGUUGCAAUUGCAUAACAGAUGCUGAUAUGAAACCUCUUUCAGGGCUUACCAACUUGAAAGAGCUACAAAUUUCCUGCAGCAAGGUCUCAGAUUACGGUAUCAGUUUUCUGGGAGGUUUGCACAAGCUCUCUCUAUUGAACAUGGAAGGUUGCCCUGCUGUUACUGCAGCAUGCUUGGACUCUCUUGCAGCUAUUCCUGCCCUGCUAUAUUUGAACCUAAGCAGAUGUAAUUUGUCUGAUGAUGGGUGUGAAAAGUUUUCAGGGCUACGGAAUCUGAAAGUACUAAACUUGGGAUUCAAUGAUAUCUCAGAUGCUUGUUUGGUACACAUGAGAGGUUUAACGAAUUUGGAGAGCUUAAACCUGGAUUCAUGUAGGAUUGAUGAUGAAGGCCUGGUUAACUUGGCAGGCCUUCAGCAUUUGAGAUGUUUGGAGUUGUCUGAUACAGCAGUUGGAAGCAAUGGCCUCCGGCAUCUUUCUGGUUUGACUAAUCUGGAGAGUAUAAAUCUCUCCUUCACUGAUGUCACUGAUGGUGGCUUAAGAAAGUUGUCUGGAUUGUCAUCACUUAAGUCACUAAAUUUGGAUGCCCGCCAAAUUACAGAUGCUGGACUUUCUGCUCUUACGAGCUUGACUGGGUUGACUCAUUUGGAUCUUUUUGGAGCGCGCAUCACAGAUUCUGGAACAAACUAUCUGCGAAAUUUCAAGAACCUAAGGUCCCUGGAAAUAUGUGGCGGAGGAUUAACUGAUGCUGGUGUGAAGAAUAUCAAGGAUCUUUCAUCCUUGACAGUGCUAAAUCUUUCACAAAAUGGCAACCUGACUGAUAAAUCGUUGGAAAUGAUUUCUGAUGGGUAACUGCUGGUUCUGUGAGGUUUCAUGGCAGUAAUGCCCUCCAGUUCUUGCAUAGAUGUAAGGGAAUAGUUUCUUGUUCCCUGGUUCUGGAUGAGAGUUCAGUGAAACAAUUGUCUGCUCAAUUUUGGGAGGAACCAAACCAAACUACAGUGGAGGGUUGAGGCAAUUGAUUUCUUUGAACGUUUCCAACUCUCGUAUAACGAGUGCAGGGUUGAAGCAUCUCAGGCCACUGAAGAAUUUGAAAUCACUAACCUUGGAGUCUUGCAAGGUGACUGUGAACGACAUCAAGAGGCUUCAGAUGAUUGACCUCCCAAAUCUGGUAAGCUUUCGUCCUGAAUAAUUUCUUUGGUGGGGAGGGGGGUGGUUUGUUUGUGUAAGAUAUUCUGUAAAUGUCUAGCCUGAAAAGAAGAGCUAAAGCAAGAAGCCGUUAGCUGAAUUGUAUAUAACGGUUGACUUGAAGAUUGGCUUUAAUUAUAGUUUUCCGAUUGGAGGCAGAAAGUUCUCUAUGCUGCAUGUGAAACUUUCUUUUGUAUAGGGCACUGAAUAUGAAAGAAAAUGUAGAUAAAAGCUACCUUGGUAUGGUUUCCAAUUUCACUUCCUAGGAGUUGUACAUAUUAUUGGAAAAUUAUUUAUACAUGUUGGGAUAGAACUUGGAUGAUAUCUAAACUGUUUGCUAUGAUUCUCCCACCUUAAAAGCUCUUCAGCCAUUGAAAUGAAA